rnacentral:rRNA from 1 species
UACGUAGGGGGCUAGCGUUGUCCGGAAUCAUUGGGCGUAAAGCGCGCGUAGGCGGCCCGGUAAGUCCGCUCUGAAAGUCCAGGGCUCAACCCUGGAAAGCGGGUGGAUACUGCCGGGCUAGAAUCCGGAAGAGGUGAGUGGAAUUCCGAGUGUAGAGGUGAAAUUCGUAGAUAUUCGGAGGAACACCAGUGGCGAAGGCGGCUCACUGGUCCAUUACUGACGCUGAGGUGCGAAAGCGUGGGGAGCAAACAGG